UCCUAGUUUCACUCAAGUCAGUAGAGUAUGAGACUCUUAUUCUUGGGGUCGUGGGUUUGAGUCCCACAUUGGGCA